rnacentral:rRNA from 1 species
CGGCGGAGUCUGAGGGAAAGGUUAACAAAUGUGGUUACUCACCCGUCCGUAAUACGUUUGGGGAACCAAAAAUCUAUCAGGUGCAAGCACCAUCAAUCAAUUGGGCCAACGCGUUCGACUUGCAUGUAUUAGGCACACCGCCGGCGUUCAUCCUGAGCCAUGAUCAAACUCAC